rnacentral:rRNA from 1 species
CCAUGGCAGUCAGAGGCGAUGAAGGGCGUGCUAAUCUGCGAUAAGCGCCGGUAAGGUGAUAUGAACCGUUAUAACCGGCGAUACCCGAAUGGGGAAACCCAGUGUGAUUCGUCACACUAUCAUUAACUGAAUCCAUAGGUUAAUGAGGCGAACCGGGGGAACUGAAACAUCUAAGUACCCCGAGGAAAAGAAAUCAACCGAGAUUCCCCCAGUAGCGGCGAGCGAACGGGGAGGAGCCCAGAGCCUGAAUCAGCAUGUGUGUUAGUGGAAGCGUCUGGAAAGGCGCGCGAUACAGGGUGACAGCCCCGUACACAAAAGCGCAUGUGCUGUGAGCUCGAUGAGUAGGGCGGGACACGUGGUAUCCUGUCUGAAUAUGGGGGGACCAUCCUCCAAGGCUAAAUACUCCUGACUGACCGAUAGUGAACCAGUACCGUGAGGGAAAGGCGAAAAGAACCCCGGCGAGGGGAGUGAAAAAGAACCUGAAACCGUGUACGUACAAGCAGUGGGAGCACAGGUUUACCUGUGUGACUGCGUACCUUUUGUAUAAUGGGUCAGCGACUUAUAUUCUGUAGCAAGGUUAACCGUAUAGGGGAGCCGGAGGGAAACCGAGUCUUAAUUGGGCGUUAAGUUGCAGGGUAUAGACCCGAAACCCGGUGAUCUAGCCAUGGGCAGGUUGAAGGUUGGGUAACACUAACUGGAGGACCGAACCGACUAAUGUUGAAAAAUUAGCGGAUGACCUGUGGCUGGGGGUGAAAGGCCAAUCAAACCGGGAGAUAGCUGGUUCUCCCCGAAAGCUAUUUAGGUAGCGCCUCGUGAAUUCAUCUCCGGGGGUAGAGCACUGUUUCGGCUAGGGGGCCAUCCCGGCUUACCAACCCGAUGCAAACUGCGAAUACCGGAGAAUGUUAUCACGGGAGACACACGGCGGGUGCUAACGUCCGUCGUGAAGAGGGAAACAACCCAGACCGCCAGCUAAGGUCCCAAAGUCAUGGUUAAGUGGGAAACGAUGUGGGAAGGCCCAGACAGCCAGGAUGUUGGCUUAGAAGCAGCCAUCAUUUAAAGAAAGCGUAAUAGCUCACUGGUCGAGUCGGCCUGCGCGGAAGAUGUAACGGGGCUAAACCAUGCACCGAAGCUGCGGCAGCGANNUGCUGGAGGUAUCAGAAGUGCGAAUGCUGACAUAAGUAACGAUAAAGCGGGUGAAAAGCCCGCUCGCCGGAAGACCAAGGGUUCCUGUCCAACGUUAAUCGGGGCAGGGUGAGUCGACCCCUAAGGCGAGGCCGAAAGGCGUAGUCGAUGGGAAACGGGUUAAUAUUCCCGUACUUGGUGUUACUGCGAAGGGGGGACGGAGAAGGCUAUGUUGGCCGGGCGACGGUUGUCCCGGUUUAAGCGUGUAGGUGUGUGUUCCAGGUAAAUCCGGUUCACUUUAACACUGAGGCGUGACGACGAGGCACUACGGUGCUGAAGCAACAAAUGCCCUGCUUCCAGGAAAAGCCUCUAAGCAUCAGGUAACAUCAAAUCGUACCCCAAACCGACACAGGUGGUCAGGUAGAGAAUACCAAGGCGCUUGAGAGAACUCGGGUGAAGGAACUAGGCAAAAUGGUGCCGUAACUUCGGGAGAAGGCACGCUGACACGUAGGUGAAGUGAUUUACUCAUGGAGCUGAAGUCAGUCGAAGAUACCAGCUGGCUGCAACUGUUUAUUAAAAACACAGCACUGUGCAAACACGAAAGUGGACGUAUACGGUGUGACGCCUGCCCGGUGCCGGAAGGUUAAUUGAUGGGGUCAGCGCAAGCGAAGCUCCUGAUCGAAGCCCCGGUAAACGGCGGCCGUAACUAUAACGGUCCUAAGGUAGCGAAAUUCCUUGUCGGGUAAGUUCCGACCUGCACGAAUGGCGUAAUGAUGGCCAGGCUGUCUCCACCCGAGACUCAGUGAAAUUGAACUCGCUGUGAAGAUGCAGUGUACCCGCGGCAAGACGGAAAGACCCCGUGAACCUUUACUAUAGCUUGACACUGAACAUUGAGCCUUGAUGUGUAGGAUAGGUGGGAGGCUUUGAAGUGUGGACGCCAGUCUGCAUGGAGCCGACCUUGAAAUACCACCCUUUAAUGUUUGAUGUUCUAACGUGGACCCGUAAUCCGGGUUGCGGACAGUGUCUGGUGGGUAGUUUGACUGGGGCGGUCUCCUCCUAAAGAGUAACGGAGGAGCACGAAGGUUGGCUAAUCCUGGUCGGACAUCAGGAGGUUAGUGCAAUGGCAUAAGCCAGCUUGACUGCGAGCGUGACGGCGCGAGCAGGUGCGAAAGCAGGUCAUAGUGAUCCGGUGGUUCUGAAUGGAAGGGCCAUCGCUCAACGGAUAAAAGGUACUCCGGGGAUAACAGGCUGAUACCGCCCAAGAGUUCAUAUCGACGGCGGUGUUUGGCACCUCGAUGUCGGCUCAUCACAUCCUGGGGCUGAAGUAGGUCCCAAGGGUAUGGCUGUUCGCCAUUUAAAGUGGUACGCGAGCUGGGUUUAGAACGUCGUGAGACAGUUCGGUCCCUAUCUGCCGUGGGCGCUGGAGAACUGAGGGGGGCUGCUCCUAGUACGAGAGGACCGGAGUGGACGCAUCACUGGUGUUCGGGUUGUCAUGCCAAUGGCACUGCCCGGUAGCUAAAUGCGGAAGAGAUAAGUGCUGAAAGCAUCUAAGCACGAAACUUGCCCCGAGAUGAGUUCUCCCUGAGACUU